AGUGAACGCUGGCGGUAGGCCUAACACAUGCAAGUCGAACGGCAGCAUAGCAAGAGCUUGCUCUUACGGGUGGCGAGUGGCGGACGGGUGAGGAAUACAUCGGAAUCUACUUUUUCGUGGGGGAUAACGUAGGGAAACUUACGCUAAUACCGCAUACGACCUACGGGUGAAAGCAGGGGAUCUUCGGACCUUGCGCGAUUGAAUGAGCCGAUGCCGGAUUAGCUAGUUGGCGGGGUAAAGGCCCACCAAGGCGACGAUCCGUAGCUGGUCUGAGAGGAUGAUCAGCCACACUGGAACUGAGACACGGUCCAGACUCCUACGGGAGGCAGCAGUGGGGAAUAUUGGACAAUGGGCGCAAGCCUGAUCCAGCCAUACCGCGUGGGUGAAGAAGGCCUUCGGGUUGUAAAGCCCUUUUGUUGGGAAAGAAAAGCAGCAGGUUAAUACCCCGCUGUUCUGACGGUACCCAAAGAAUAAGCACCGGCUAACUUCGUG
rnacentral:rRNA from 1 species